rnacentral:rRNA from 1 species
UACAGAGGGGGCAAGCGUUGUUCGGAAUUACUGGGCGUAAAGGGCGCGUAGGCGGCCCGCUAAGUCGAACGUGAAAUCCCCGGGCUCAACCCGGGAACUGCGUCCGAUACUGGCGGGCUUGAAUCCGGGAGAGGGAUGCGGAAUUCCAGGUGUAGCGGUGAAAUGCGUAGAUAUCUGGAGGAACACCGGUGGCGAAGGCGGCAUCCUGGGCCGGUAUUGACGCUGAGGCGCGAAAGCCAGGGGAGCAAACGGG